CUCAUCCUGCGGAGAAGCAGGCAAACUGAGGCUUAGGCCAGCAAGACCUACUGCUCAGGCAGGGAAACUGAGGCCUAGAUCAGCAGAGACCCGUUGCCCAUAUGGGCAAACUAAGGCCCUGUAAACUCAGGCCUGUUGCCCACAUAAGGAAACUGAGACCUAGGUGAACACAGACCCACUGCUUAGGCCCAGACUGUUUCACACAGAUGGGGAAACCAAGGCCUACCACAAGGAUAGACCUACCACAGAUGGGGAGGAGGGUCAGGAAAUGAAGCCCUGGAGAGCCCACCAGGACUCCCAGGGCAUGGCAGAGCAAUCUGAAGACCUUGAGGAAACCCAUGUCCCCGAUGAGAAGACUGAGGUUCUAAGAACAGGGACUGUCCAGAGAGGUUGCCCACAACCAGCAUUCUAGAGCAGAACUGCUCACUAUGGAUGUGUUGGUGACACCUUAGCCUGGGCUCAGGGAAAAGCGACAGUGCAGCUGACUUAUAAUAAAGUUUUAUCGACAGAGGGGACAGUGCAUCAGCCCCAUGUGGCAGCUGCCUCCUGAGGUCUCAACUGCCAGCUACAGGCUCCCCAAUCACAGAUGGCAGGGUCAAGCAAAUAGUGGCACUCAAAACAUGCACGAGCCUCAGGCCUGAGUGGAGGCAGCAGGGUGGGCAGCCCUUGGACUCCCCCUAGGCCCUGGGAGUAACAUGAGGUGACCUCCCCUACAGGGAGGGGGUCAUCUUGAGAACACCAGGGUUGAUUUCCAGUUGCAAAGUGCCAGGAAUUUAAGGGAAAACAUAGUUUCUGCCUCUGCUGGGGCUCAGGGGUUUGGGACAGGAGUCAUACAUUCCCCAUGGAUUGGCUGCUCAGGGACCAGCAGGGAGCACCCCCAGAGCUCCACUACCCAUGGCUUGAUGGGGAAACUGAGGCCAAGGCUUUGCAGAGAUACCCAAGGUCCCCACAGGGCCCUGAGGAGCUACAUCACUGGUUGCUAGCCUGUUCCUUCCCUGAGUUGGGGUCUUCCCCGGAUCCACCAGCUCAUUGAGGAACCCCCAGGUAGCAUCUGCCCGCUCUGGGAUCCAGGUUCCCUAAACCCCAGAGCCAGGACACCAAAUGCCACCUAUUACCAAACCUCUGAAAAUAGCCUGUGAGCUGGAAGAGGCCAGGCCCAGGCCACCCCGUCCCCAGGCCAAUGUCCUCUGAAGUGUGACUCACUGGAACAGCUGUGGCUGGCCUGGACCUGGGGGGGGGGGGCGCGGGGAGGGUGCUUCUGAUGCCUGCUGAGGCUGAGGAGAUGGGCUAGCCUGGGGACAGAAGCAGGGCUCUUCUUGGGUCUGGAUGGUAAGUGACACGUGAGAUCAGAGACAGGAAGGAACCUGUCCAGGUACACACAGCCCUCAGCUGGGCUGGGGCAGCAGGGUGGGUGGAGGGUCCUCUGCCUGGGGUAUACAUCUGUAAGUGCAGUAUCGGAUGGCAGUCAGUGAGGGAGGGGUGCUGGCAUCCCAGAGUCCUGUCUCUAAAUUCACUCUAAGUACAUUCCCCCUCUGAGCCCCACUUGUCACCACACUCUAGGUUCCACCCCCUCGGGGAGGCCAUGGUGGAUGUGCCCACGUCACUGAUGGCCCUCACUGGCCAGGAAGGUUCAGCCACAGCCAGGACCUCAUCACCAGUCCGACAAAGGAGAGGGCCAAGACUGGUAUGGGGCUGACAACCCCCGAACUCCUACAUAGCCCUAGAUGCCUAGUCCCCAGUACCCCUCCUUCAUACAGCCUUGUCCAGCCAAGGAUCAACACUGGGGAGUCCUCAUGGAAAUGGGGAGCUGGUAAGCAGGCCUUUCCCAUAGUUGGGCCUCUGGCAUAGUCCUUGCUGGGCCACUCCUAGUCCAUCCAUCCCUCUGAGCUGUCAACUGCACUCCCCAGUCUUCCUUACAAAAGUGACUGCGCAGUUCUGAGAAUCUGCUUGUCUACUCCCAAACUCCGAGGCAUCCUUCAAAGCUCUAAUCUCAAACCCUUUCCCAUGUGGCUGGUGAGGGGUACAGGUGCCUAGGAUAGUGACAGUGCCCCCUACAAAAGCUCAGAGCUGCUUAGCUGGCAUCUGUGGAGAGCCCUGACCUCAGCCAGGGAGGGGUUCAUUCCCUGCAUUUACUGAGCACUUACUUUCUGCCAGCCUGGCACAGCUGGUGCAAAGGCCCUGGGGCAGGAGCAGAGGGAGCAAGGGACACGGGAAGAGUAUACCCCUAGCCUAUACUCCCCUAACUCCCUGUGGAUCCUCUGCUCAGUCCUUGGUCACAGAUGAGAAAGAGAGGGUCACAAACUCAUGAUAAUCCUCCUAACUCAGAUUCUUUUUUUUUUUUUAAUGUACAUGAUGGUUCCUUAUUUAUUUAUAAGAUUUAUUUAUUACUAUACAUAAGUACACUGUAGCUGUCUUCAGAUGCACCAGAAGAGGGCGUCAGAUCUCAUUAUGGAUGGUUGUGAGCCACCAUGUGGUUGCUGGGAUUUGAACUCAGGACCUUCGGAAGAGCAAUCAGUGCUCUUAACCACUGAGCCAUCUCACCAGCCCCCGACUCAGAUUCUUAAGUACUAAAGUCACAAGUGUGUUCCACCUUGCCUGGUGGAUUGAUUGAUUGAUUGAUUUAUAGACAGGGUCUCUCUGUUUGGACCUGGCUGUCCUGGAACUCACUCUGUAGACCAGGCUGGCCUCAAACUCAAAAAUCUUCCUGCCUCUGCCCCCUGAAGGCUGGGAUCAAAGUGCCCGACUGCCUGGUGACCUUCCAAGUCAUCCCAUGCAUGUAUCUGAACUUAUCAUGCACCCAGCAGCUUCAGGAGCUACUCAGAGUUAAAAUCAGGGCAGAAGGUGAGGUUGGGGGAGGCGCCUGUGAGAGGCUCAGGAUAAGACUGAUCCUGACUAAGGAGACACCUGUGGGUGACAUCUGACCUUCACAGUGUUUGGGGGUCACCACUGUUUCCCACCCCAAGUCUGCAUCACUUAGGCAACAGGAUGAAGAAAAGCUGGGAAACGCCUAUGAGCUAAGCCAUUGGCCACAAGCAGCAGCAUUUAUUGAGCAUCAACUGUAUACCCAGCUCUGGACAAUGAGUGUGGCAUCUGUGGGUAUCUGAAGGGCACACCACCCUGGCUCCCCAGUUCUGUGUGAGGUGACAUAUCAGUGGGCAUUUACCACCAAACAUUCAUGGAACACCCACUGUGUGCCACCACCUGUGUCUGGUGGCAUUUUCUGAGCUCCUACUGCGUGCCACACCCUAUGUCCAGCAAAUAAAAAAUACCCCCCCCCAGCAAGAGCUGAGGCAGUCACUGAG